CCCCCAUGUCAGAACUGCAUUUGGAGUGCCAAUUCAAGGGGAAAUUUGUAUGUUUAAAUACCGCCUUCAGGCCAGAAAAGUUCAGAAACUUCCAUAUUCCUCUUCAAUGUUUUUAUAAACAAUUUGGAUGUAGGACUAGAAGGUGUUUUGAGCAAAUUUGCCGAUGACACCGAACUUGGAGGAGUUGUGGAGUCUGUUGAGGGUGGAAAGGCCUUGCAGAGUGAUCUGGACAGGUUGGAGAGCUGGGCAAUCACUAACCGCAUGAAGUUUAACAAAAGCAAGUGCCAGGUCCUGCACCUGGGAUGGGGCAACCCGGGCUAUGCGUACAGACUGAGUGAUGAAAUGCUGAAGAGCAGCCCCACAAAGAGGGAUCUGGGGGUUGUGGUUGACAGCAAGUUGAAUAUGAGCCAGCAGUGUGCCCUGGCAGCCAGGAGGGCCAACCGUAUCCUGGGGUGCAUCAAGCAUGGCGUUGUUAGUCAGAUGAGGGAAGUGAUUGUCCCGCUCUACUCUGCGCUGGUGCGGCCUCACCUCGAGCACUGUGUGCAGUUCUGGACACCACAGUACAAAAAGGAUGUAAAACUGUUGGAGAGUGUCCAGAGGAGGGCUACGAAGUUGGUGAAGGGACUAGAGGGGAAGACGUAUGAGGAGCAGCUGAGGUCACUUGGCCUCUUCAGCGUGGAAAAGAGGAGGCUGAGGGGAGACCACAUAGCGGUCUACAGCUUCCUCACGAAGGGGAGUGGAGGGGCAGGCACUGAUCUAUUCUCUUUAGUCACCAGUGAUAGGACCCACAGGAAUGGUGUCAAGCUGAGGCAGGGGAGGUUUAGACUAGACAUCAGGAAGAGGUUCUUCACUGAGAGGGCGGUCGCACACUGGAACAGGCUCCCCAGGGAAGUAGUCACUGUACGAAACCUGUCGAAGUUAAGAAGCGUUUAGACUGUGCACUUAGUCACAUGGUCUAAAAUUUUGUGUAGACCUGUGUGGUGCCAGGAGUUGGACUUGAU
rnacentral:lncRNA from 1 species